ACAAGUUUUCCUGUUAACCGUGGAGUCGUUCUCGCCUAGUUUACCGUAGUACUCGUAUAUUAUUUAAUUAUAGUUUAUUAUUAUUAUUAUUGGGCGAUUGUAUACUACGAUUAAUAUCAUUUAAUAUUAUUAAUUUAUUGUUAUCAUUUUAUGUGUAACAAAUAUUGUGUUAGUUAUAAUUCUGUAUGUAUUAACAAUUGUGAGAUAUUAUAUUCGUUAUACCAUAUGUUUAGUUACUACUAUUUGUGAAUAAUACUUUAAUAAUAAAUUACUGUUUUGUGUAAUUAUUAUUCGGUUAUAGUUGAAAUAAAAUGCCAGACGAAAAUAAUAAACCCGAUGGAUAAGAUUGCAAUAAUCACUGCCUAAGUCGCCAACUACCAAAAAGUGAAACGUUGUGGCAGAAGAUGAGAAGAGAAAAGAUAGAAAGGGGUAUUUGUGAGGAGAGAGUCUGUAACAGGGUACAUUUUGCACUUUGGUUAAAACUAUAAAUUUGAAUUUGAAUGUUAUUUCCGCCGUUAACCGGCCAAUGACCUCGUAAGUUUCGAGUUAGGUUUGCGACUUGUCACCGGGUGUCGCAUGAUCACUAAGACCCAAACAUUCGCCACUCCCCUAGUCUAAGUUUUCGAGAGUGAACCAAAAUAGAGGGAAUGAUAAUAUAAAAAGGACUGCGGAACAUGGAAUCAUCAGUUUUUGUUCAGACGACGACAACGGCAGGACACUAAAUAAAAUUAAGGUUAAUCAGUAUCAAAUAUUACAAUAAAUAAAGAGAGAAGUCAGAGAUAACACGAGGCCAGCUAAAUUUCCGUCCACAGAGGAAAAUACACACCGACAUCCAGGUAGCAGCGGAACAACAUCAUCAGUUGCUGCAAUAAAAUUCUGGAGUGUGUAAGCUACUCGUUCCUGAAUACCGAGCCUUUUGCUCGAUAGGCAUCUUGAGGCCUGUAGCCUCUGACGUCAGGAGCUACCCCCAGCCUGUGACAAGGCUCACCCCCACUAGAGAAGGGCGAGAUGGACAUCAAGGCUGACGAAGAAGAGGCAUUCCGACGGGGCCCUCCGAGAGGACCCAACGUGACGUCAUCUAGCUACUCUCUCCCUUUCCCUUAUUAUAUUACUUAUUAUUAAC